ensembl:scaRNA
GAUGGAACCUGCAGAGCCAACCAUGUAGACAAACGUGAAAACAUCCUUUGUCUGCAGAGGGCAACAAUCCUUCACAAACAUGAGCUCUCGGGUCACUCCUAUCCAUAAGUUUUUUAAGCUGUCACUCUAAAUAUU